UACAGAGGUGGCAAGCGUUGUUCGGAAUUACUGGGCGUAAAGGGCGCGUAGGCGGCCUUCUUAGUCGGACGUGAAAUCCCCAGGCUCAACUUGGGAACUGCGUCCGAUACUGGAUGGCUUGAGUGCGGGAGCGGGAUGUGGAAUUCCAGGUGUAGCGGUGAAAUGCGUAGAUAUCUGGAGGAACACCGGUGGCGAAGGCGGCAUCCUGGACCGACACUGACGCUGAGGCGCGAAAGCUAGGGGAGCAAACGGG
rnacentral:rRNA from 1 species